rnacentral:rRNA from 1 species
UACACUCCUACGGGAGGCAGCAGUGGGGAAUAUUGGACAAUGGGCGCAAGCCUGAUCCAGCCAUGCCGCGUGAGUGAUGAAGGCCCUAGGGUUGUAAAGCUCUUUCACCGGUGAAGAUAAUGACGGUAACCGGAGAAGAAGCCCCGGCUAACUUCGUGCCAGCAGCCGCGGUAAUACGAAGGGGGCUAGCGUUGUUCGGAUUUACUGGGCGUAAAGCGCACGUAGGCGGACUAUUAAGUCAGGGGUGAAAUCCCGGGGCUCAACCCCGGAACUGCCUUUGAUACUGGUAGUCUUGAGUUCGAGAGAGGUGGGUGGAAUUCCGAGUGUAGAGGUGAAAUUCGUAGAUAUUCGGAGGAACACCAGUGGCGAAGGCGGCUCACUGGCUCGAUACUGACGCUGAGGUGCGAAAGCGUGGGGAGCAAACAGGAUUAGAUACCCGAGUAGUCCCAUGA